rnacentral:rRNA from 1 species
GAUGAACGCUGACAGCAUGCUUAACACAUGCAAGUCAACUGUGGCGGACGGGUGAGUAACGCGUAAAGAACUUGCCUCACAGAUAGGGACAACAUUCGGAAACGAAUGCUAAUACCUGAUACUGUGAGAGAGCUUUGCGUCCCAUUAGCUAGUUGGAGAGGUAACGGCUCACCAAGGCGAUGAUGGGUAGCCGGCCUGAGAGGGUGAUCGGCCACAAGGGGAUAGGGGCACGGCCCUUAGUCCUACUUGAGGAAGCAGUGGGGAAUAUUGGACAAUGGACCAAAGUAUGAUCCAGCAAUUCUGUGUGCACGGUGAAGUUUUCGGAAUGUAGAGUGCUUUCAGUGGACAAGCGGUACCAACAGAAGAAGUGACGGCUAAAUCCGUGCCAGCAGCCGCGGUAAUUC